CUUCUAUUUGUCUAGAUGUAAUCCAAGCAGGUUCAAGUGCCUGAAGAGCAUAUUUACCGAAAGAAAUAUGAUUACCUCGAUAAGAUAUUCCCUUCAUUCUUCCUCUAUGUUGUUUACGGAAUCUGGUUCUUUUGGGGUUAUACAUAGCAAUUAUAUCAAAUGGUCAAUCGAAUUUUUAUUCAACCUUAUAGAAUUAAGAAUUAGAAAUGUUCCCCUUGAUUGAUUAGAAAAAGAAUGAAUUGGUCUUUUUUUGUUCAAUCAUUGGAUAGAAGGGAAAGACAAGUAGUAAAAUUAUUCCUCGUCUAGAAAUAUCCAAAUUUUGAUGCCCAAUACUCCAUAGAUAGUUCGAACUGUAUAAGAGCAAUAAUCAAUUUUAGCUCGAAUCGUUUGUAGGGGAACCCUACCUUCUCUGAUCCAUUCGACACGUGCAAUUUCUUUUCCGUCGAUACGCCCCGCAAUUUGUAUUUGAAUUCCUUUUGUAUCUGCUUGUUCUGUUAAUUCAAUAGCCUUUUUCAUUGCUUUUCGAAAUGAAACUCUAUUCUUUAAUUGUCCAGCUAUAAAUUCUGCAAGAAUAUUAGGGUUUCCGUAAGGUUUUGCAAUUCUUGUGACAGCAAUGUUCAGUUUUCGGUUUACACAAUUAAAUUCUUUUUGUAAGGUCGUUUGUAAUUCUUCGAUUCCGCGCGGUCGACUUUCUAUUAAUAAUUUUGGGAAUCCCAUAAAGAUUAUGACCUGGAUCAGAUCGAUUCUUUUUUGAAUCUCUAUACGUGCAAUUCCCUCGACGCCAGAGGACGUUCUCAUAUUCUUUUGUACAUAAUUCUUGAUACAAUCUCUUAUUUUUUGAUCUUCUUGUAAACCUUCAGAAUAAUUUUUUGGUUGUGAAAACCAAAGGGAAUGAUGACUUUGGGUUGUACCCAGUCUGAAACCAAGUGGAUUUAUUUUUUGUCCCAUAAUCCCCCACUAUUAUACAUAUCACGAUACAUCAUAGCUGUAGAUUUUUUUUUCCAUCUCGUUUUUUUUAACGAAUCUAUCUCGACAUAUUCAUCAUCUAAAGAUAUAUCUUUCAUUACAAUAGUUAUAUGACAGGUCGAUCUUUUUAUCGGAAAACUACGUCCUCGAGCUCGAGGUUUCAAUUUCUUCACAGUAGUACCCCCAUUGACUUCGGCUUUACUAAUGACUAAAUUGGCUUCGCUGGAACCCAUAUUAUAACUAGCAUUUGCUGCUGCAGAAUAAACCAAUUUCAAAAUGGGAUAACAUGCUCGAUAGGGCAUGAGUUCUAGUAUCAUAAGUGUUUCCUCAUAGGAACGUCCGCGAAUUUGAUCAAUUACUCUUCGUGCUUUGUCAGCAGACAUAGAUAUAUGUUCACCUAAAGCAUAUACUUCUGUUUUUUUCUUCUUUAGCAUAAGGUUUGCCUCCUACUACUGAAUCAUAAGCA